AUGACACUGCAAUUACACACUGGCAAUAAGGGUACUUAUGAGGUAAUUAUGAAGUCUUAAGGAAAUUAAAAAUUGGCCAGAUGAGCCAAGAGAGAAAAACAUCAUCUCUCUAAACAGCUCUCCA